AGCGUAAGUGGGAAAGGGGCAGAGAGAGAGAGAGGGAGACACGGAAUCCAAAGCAGGCGCCAGGCUCUGAGCUGUCAGCACAGAGCCCGACGCGGGGCUUGAAUCCACGAACUGCGAGAUCAUGAAUGACCUGAGCUGAAGUUUGACACUUAAUCGACUGAGUCACCCAGGAGCCUCCUUUUAUAUUUAAAAAAAAAAAUGUAUGAUAAUUCUUUCCAUUACUGCGCUUUUAGUUUAUGUUGGCCAUUAUAAAAUGGUUAGAUAAUACUAGAGGGAAGCACUUAUUUUUUCUACUUCUUGCUUUGAAUCUUUCACCCCUUUGAAGAGGCACAGCCCCACCUUUCUUUUGUAAUUUGUUGCAACUAUCGGAAUUUGAUGAUUUGUCAGUAAGCAGGCAACCUUACUGCUGAUAAUAAACAAAGUGGAAGACCAUAUUUCACAAAGAGGAAAGGAAAGGACAAAGAAAAAGGGCAAAAUGAAAGGAACAAGUAGCUGUGGGUUGAGGAAAGGUGAAAGACAUGAAGUAUUCUGAGAAAUAGCUAUCCUACAAACAUGGAGAAAGUUUGGGUACUUGGGUAUUGACGCCACAGCCUCAUGACUCAGAUUUUCUUCCAUAAUUUCUCUUGCGCCCCAGACAGCCCUGUGUUCUGAAGCUUCCUCUAUAUUUUCCAGAUUUCCUAGCCUAAAGAGAAAGAACAAUAGUAACAUUUGCAUUUACUUAAGGCUUUGGAAAAAAUCAAAGUGAAAAUAAAAGUAACCUUCAAGGAGCGUCUGCAUGGAAUAACUGACUCAGCUAUUUUGGCCAAGCUUGUCUUUUUUUGGUCCUUAUUUUCAGGGCAGCGAUUGCAAUAUUUUCAAACAGGGCAGGGCGGAAUGGUGAGACUGUCAAAUGAAUCUUUCUGCGAAAGGAGACAUCCACAAGCUGAAAAGACGAUUGAUUCGGGCUAGGGGAAAGGACUUGAAUCUGAAAUAGCAUCCCUGUCAGUUCUGUUCUGUCCUGGGAAGUAUACAAGGAAGCAAAACCUCCGUGGAAGAGAAGGGAGGCAUCAGGCGCUGGAGGUGAAAGUCUGUGGCAACGAGUAUAUCUUAACUGAAAACUUAAAUCAACAGAUAGGAAUAGAACUAUUACUAUUACGAAAUCCACCUGGAUGCUUGAAGGACAUAGGAAAGGAUGAGCUAUUACGGCAGCAGCUAUCCGAUUGUAAACGUGGACCCCAAAUACCCAGGCUACCCCCCAGAGCACAUCAUAGCUGAGAAGACAAGAGCCAGAAGACGUCUGCUCCACAAAGAUGGCAGCUGUAAUGUGUACUUCAAGCACAUUUUUGGAGAAUGGGGGAGCUACGUGGUUGACAUUUUCACCACCCUCGUAGAUACCAAGUGGCGGCACAUGUUUGUGAUAUUUUCUUUAUCCUAUAUUCUCUCCUGGUUGAUAUUUGGCUCUAUCUUCUGGCUCAUUGCCUUUCAUCACGGUGAUCUGUUAAAUGAUCCACACAUCACACCUUGUGUUGACAACGUCCAUUCCUUCACAGGGGCGUUUUUAUUCUCCCUGGAAACCCAGACCACCAUAGGUUACGGUUACCGCUGUGUCACUGAAGAAUGCUCUGUGGCCGUGCUCACGGUGAUCCUUCAGUCCAUCUUGAGCUGCAUCAUAAAUACCUUCAUCAUUGGAGCCGCCUUAGCCAAAAUGGCAACUGCUCGAAAGAGAGCCCAAACCAUUCGGUUUAGCUAUUUUGCACUCAUAGGGAUGAGGGAUGGGAAACUCUGCCUCAUGUGGCGCAUUGGUGACUUCCGACCAAACCACGUGGUAGAAGGCACAGUGAGAGCCCAACUUCUCCGCUACACAGAAGACAGCGAAGGGCGGAUGACGAUGGCCUUUAAAGACCUAAAGUUGGUGAAUGAUCAGAUCAUUCUUGUCACACCAGUAACUAUUGUUCAUGAAAUUGACCAUGAGAGCCCUCUGUAUGCCCUUGACCGAAAAGCAGUGGCCAAAGAUAACUUUGAGAUUUUGGUGACAUUUAUCUAUACUGGUGAUUCCACGGGGACUUCCCACCAAUCCAGAAGUUCCUACGUUCCCCGAGAAAUUCUCUGGGGCCACAGGUUCAAUGACGUCCUGGAAGUUAAGAGAAAGUAUUACAAGGUGAACUGCUUACAGUUUGAGGGGAGCGUGGAAGUCUAUGCUCCCUUCUGCAGUGCCAAACAACUGGACUGGAAAGACCAGCAGCUCCACAACAUGGAAAAAACCCCUCCGGUCCGAGGACCCGGCCCGUCAGACACCAAGGUCAGAAGAAGGUCAUUUAGCGCGGUUGCCAUUGUCAGCAGUUGUGAAAACCCGGAGGAGACCACCACCUCGGCCACGGAUGAGUCAAAGUAAAGGGGUUCUAAGAGAAGCAGGAUCAUUAUCCAGCAACGACCCAUCACGACCAAUCAAGCCGCAGCUAACUGAACCCGGAAAAACUGCUGACUUACAAGGUGCUGGGCCCCAUGAGUCUGCAAAGCACCCAGAAGACUGAGAACCACGCUUCAUGUGCCAGAAAAGACAUGUUGCAACUCAUCUGGGAUGAAGGAAAAACCAUUCUUUCUCUUUAAGAGUUCAUUAGAUUAAAACAACUAUGCAAAAACAAACAGAAGAAAUAUAUAAUGAUGUCAUAUUGAAUGUCACAGACUGAAACCACCCAGGUCAUGGAGAACUAAGGUAAUAACUCAUAUUUAAUUCUGUUUACAUCUUAAUCAUUUACAUUAUAUGACUUUCAGAGGACUUACAUUCAUGCGGAAAUUUUGAAAACAGAUUAUAACUAUUUUAUUUCUAGUAGACAAAGUUAAGAGGGCCAAUAGCAUCAGAUAAAAUGUCUGCCAUUUUAGUUUGACCAAAGAGAUCACAGAAAAGUAACUUUGGACAGAACCUUAAAGAAACUCUUGUUCAUCCCCCUCUUCCAAGUUUGUAGAAUAAAAACAGGAUGAAAUAAGAUAAUUCAUUUUUAGUCACAAAUUUUUGGUGAACAAUAUUUAACCCCAAAGAUCAUUAGAAUCUUUUUUAAUAAAAAGAUAUUUAAAUUAAAUAUAAAGGAUUUGAGGGAAUCCUAUAUUGUUUGACAGAAUUAGUAUUACCAUUACCAUUUCAUUAGAAUAGAUUCUGAAGCUCACAAUUCCAUUGAAAUCAAUGGGCUGGCUUUAUUUCUCCCUUAAUUUUCUUCCUGCAAUUUCUUAGGAAAUGCAAUAAUUUAUUAGUUUUUAAAUCCCAUCAUUACCAUAUUUGAUUUUUCUCUCUGUUGUGUUUUCCUUUAAUUGAUUCCUGGAGGCAAUUCGGAAAUUUUUAUCCACACCACAUGUUUUGAAUGGCUAAUUGUUCUCUAUGGAAGCAUAGCCAUUAUGCUACUAUCUAAUUACAUUAAGAAAAAUUAAUGUCAGAUGACAAAUCUAUCAGCAACAAGCUCCCUGAGAAUCAAUAUUUUCAGGAAGAUUUUCACAUCCUAGAAUCUGGUUUUCAGGGUCAAUGUGUGGAGUUAGCACUUUUUAUUAGUAGUAGUAUGAUGUCAAACCAGGGGCAGGAGAGUUAACGAGAGGAUGUGUUCCCACCUCUCUCCUUUUUAAAGGAAGUACUCAAAUGGGCAGAAGUCUAAAGCCCUAUUUACUUAAUACUGAGCUUCUGAUACUAAAACAAACCGACAAGAGAACUCUUAUAGAAUAGGCUCAAAUUAGGCUUCUAGGCAUGUCUAGUGGUGUUCAGGGAGAAAAGACCAAACUUCUAUCAAUUCUUAGAAAUUUUUAGUAGGAACUAUUCUUGGUGACUUUGUACUUCAUUCCUCCAAGGAAUUUACCAGAAUUUGCGUUCUGUGAGGCUCGGGGGAUAAAAGGUGCAUACUGAAUUAUGUUGAAAACGUGCAUUCUGCUUCUUACUUUUUUCUCGUUAAACCCAGGAAGGAAAUCUCACCUAGCCUCACCAGUGAACUUAUAUUGGUUUGGUUUAGAACUCUUUCUGUAUUCACUUAUUUAGCAGCUAAUGAACAAAAUGUUAUAUGAAUGAUUGAUUUAGUUGUGUUUCUAGACAGAUUAAAAAAAUGUUCCCUAAUGAGUAUAGAAAUAUGAUUUCAAAGUCUGCAUGCACUCGAAGAGCAUUUACCCAAUAUUCUUUGUAGUCACCUCAGCAAAUGAAAGAUCAGAUUGACAUCUUGGCCUUAAUAAAGACAAAAUUUUAAUAAAAAAGGAAUGGCAUCUUCUUUUUAGUUUCAAAAUUAUAUCACGCAUUAGGUUUUGUUCUUGAUUAUGAAAUAAUAAAUAUUUAGAGAAAAAUGAGAAAAUGCCAAUACACAAACGUAAGACAAUAAAAAUAAAUUAUAACCACAUCUACUAGGUCAUUGUUAAAUUUUACAUAUAAUAUUAUGUGAAUAACUAUAUUAUCUUAUACGUAUGUGAUAUGUACAUAUAUAUAUGAUGUUAAAGCUGAGAUACGGGAGCCUGACCCAUCAAAAAUGGCAUGGGGCCCCCAGCACACCAUCUGUAGGAUACCCAUCUCCAAAUGAUUUUACAUGAAGGAGAAAUAGGUCUCCAUUUUUUAAUAUAUUGAUAUAUUGAAUUUUUCCAUUGCAGGCAACUAUAGCAAACCUGAAUUUAUACAAUAAUUUUGGCCUAUUUGGCUCAUUAUGGGUUAUUUUGCAUUAUUUCUCAUUUAAAAAAAUUAUGAAUUGAACUGUUACUUAUCUUGAUUACUGGUUUCUCUUUUGUGCCUCUUAAAGUUCACAUUUGAUGUGUGUAGUCCUUGUCACAUCCCAAUCCUAGCACCGAAGACAAAUAUAGACAGCGGUGCAGAUCUAAGAACUGAUUUAAACAUCAAGAGUUUCUUUUCUCAACAAAAUGGAAUCAUAUAAUACAAUCUGCAUUCAAAGUUCAGUCUUUAAACAUUUUCCAUGACACAACAUUUUUUGCAAAUAACCCAUUUUCUUCUAUUAUUUAUUGUUUUUUAUAUUUUUCAAUCACUAAACACUCUUUUUAAGUUUAUUUAUUUAUUGUGAGAGAGCAAGAGAGCAUGAGCAGGGCAGGGGCAGAGAGAGAGAGAGAGGGUGAGAGAAUCUAAAACAGGCUCUGUGCUGUCAUCGCAGAGCCCGGUGCAAACCUUGAACGCACGAACCAUGAGAUCAUGACCUGGCCAAAAUGGAGAGUCAGAUGCUUAACCAACCGAGUCACCCAGGUGCCCAUCACUAAAUACUCUUAUGUGCAACACUUAGCAGUUGCUAACGAGGUCAAAUUCAAGAUUUGUUGAAGCAACACAAAGGGAAAUACAUGUCUGAUAGUUUCACAGACUCUCUGGUCCCCUAUGGAUCAGCAAGCAUAAAACAGGUUAGCGGUGGAUUUGCAAAAAUCAAUCUCCAUGGAGGCAGUUUUGACAUUCAUUGAUUUUUUAAAAAUUUUCUUUUAAUCUUUAUUUAGUUUUGAGAAAGAGAGAAAGAGAGAGAGAGAGAGAGGGAGGCAGAGUGCAAGCGGGGCAGGACUAGAGAGAGGGAGAUACAGAAUCUGAAUCUGAAGCAGGCUCCAAGCUCUGAGCUGUCAGCACAGAGCCCUAUGAUGCGGGGCUUGAACUCACAAACUGCGAGAUCAUGACCUGAGCCUAAGUCAGACACUUAACCAACUGAGCCGCCCAGGUGCCCCCCCCAUUUGUUGAUUUUUAAAGGAUUGCUAUUAACAGUAACCUUAAUUUUAUUUUAUGAGUCUACUUGGAAGACACUUAAUUUUGACAUGUAAGUUGACAUUUGUCAACUAUCAUUA